UGUGACACACUGGAGGGUAUUAGCUGGCCCAGUGAUGAAAGUGUUUCCGGAAAGAGAUGAGUCUAAAUACUGUUAUUUCAGUUUUGAAGACCAGCUGUAAGCAACAUAAGAAGUGACUUGAAUCUUUCAAAAUGAAAUGCUGUCCAUAAUCCCACAUCAUUCUGUAUGGAGGGAUUUUGGAACACAUUUUACAAGGUUUUUGACUGUGUUUUUCAACUGUUUCCAAGGAGAGCCAUUGAAAAACAUGCCCAGUUCUGGCAGAUGUGCAACAGUUUCUUUGUAGACCUGGUCUCCACCGUGUGCUUCAAAGACAACACCCCACCUCAGAAGGAAGUGAUUGACAGCCUGCUGUCGCUACUCUUUGUACACAAGGAACUCUUAAAGGACACUCCCCAAGGACACCGUGAACACACAAAAUCCCUCUCUCCGUUUAACGAUGUUGUCGACAAGACUCCGGUCAUCCGCUCGGUGGUACUGAAACUGCUUUUGAAGUACAGCUUCCAUGAUGUAAAAGAUUACAUUCAGGACUACUUGUCCCUG
rnacentral:lncRNA from 1 species